GAUAAUUUAACAAGAAAUUAGACGUUAGUUGCCCAUAAAGCCGACGUCUAUAAUCGCAUAUACGUCGGGUGCCUCAUUAAUGUGACGUCCAUUCCAUUUAAAAAUUAAUAUUUUUGUUACAUAUAGACGUCGACUUGGCGGGACAAGACGUCUAGUGGGCGGAAACGAAUGACUUUUCACAAACCUGGUUAGACUAAAG
rnacentral:lncRNA from 1 species